CAUCAGUCCAUAAGUUCUAUUCCAGAAUAGACUUGAUUCUAGCCACUACCGACAUUCUGCAUAGAGUUACAACUAGUGAAAUUGGAGAUAUAGAGUGGUCUGACCACGGCCCAAUUUAGGUAAAAAUACAAACCAACUUCGACCAUAGGGGAAAAGCCCCAUGGAGGCUAAACAACACCCUAAUACUUAAUGAGGACUUCCA